GACAGUCACUUUGUUCUUGCAGGUGCCUCCACAGGCUGCCAUUCUGGACAGGACGAACGACACUGCCCCCAGGGUGAAGGGGACUCAGGCCUGAACCCCGCAGCCCGCGUGACAGGCAGGAACCUGGGGACAGGUUACUUGGAGCACUGGAGGACCCCAGUGGAAGGGCCGAGGUUCUCUUCAGAGACAGCUCGAAGGCUCUCAAGAGAGACUGAGGUGCAGACAGAAAACGCCCGCACAGGCGGAGGUCGUUCCUGCCACCUCCCUCCGGUCCCACGGACUGGGGUAUUUCUGAUGCUCCCCAACUCUCAAGUAAUUUGGCCCCUUUUGUUGAAGGGGAGCCUUCCGUAAGAGCAGUCCCUCUGCUGAAGUCUGUCAGGGAGGUCAGCAAAGGGGCAGCAGCCCCUGCAGUCGCAAAGUUCGCAUUGUCACCUUUUAAACCCCUGUCGUCUGCAGGUGGACGGGGCAGGGCUCUGCAGGGGCGCCCCUGGAGGGGCCUGACGCUUGGCCCGUCCCGGCACAGCUGCAGGGCUGUCCCCACGACACCUCCACUACGGCUCAAUCCGAAGGAGGGAGCACUAGUGUGACCUCAAUUUACUGACGGAUACAAAGGGGGAGCUCCGUCCAUUUGCGCCUCUGUCACAGCACUCUCAAGAAGAGAUGCGCCUCAAGAUUCGCAAAGUGCAGCGGGAACCCCAAGUCUCAGCCCAGACUGUCCGUGCACGGCGUAACGACCCUCCCCACCAGAGGGGACCCAGGACCUGAGCUCCGACUCCUGCUGGCACAGGGAAGGGAGGCGGGGCCACCACUGAGGCUGGGUCCGCGACUCCUCUGGGGCCACCCAGACCGGGCGCAGGGCCGGUCCCUCCUCCAGACGGCGGCCGAGGGGACAGCCCGGGAGGGCCGGGGUCCCGGGGCGCCCGCCCCUCCCCCCGCGGCCUGCUCCGAGGCCGACCCGGAACCAGCUCUCCGCGUCCCCCGCUCGCGGAAGCCCCCGAGCCCCAGCGCCGGCGGGGGGUGCGCGGCCACCCGCCCGCGGCCCCGCAACCCCCAAAUGGAGGCCGAGGCUGGAGGGUGCUGCAAAGAUGCUCCGCCCGCCCCGAGGGGGGCCCUGGCGCCGCGCGCGGGGGAGGGGGCGGCGGAGGGGGCGCGCAGGGAGCGAGGGGCUCGCGA